GGAGAGGUCGCAUAGCCCGGUUUAGUGCGCGCGCUUGGAGAGCGCGUGACCCAAAAGGUCCCAGGGUUCAAAUCCCUGCCUCUCCG
rnacentral:tRNA from 1 species